UAGUCCACGCCGUAAACGAUGUCUGCUAGCCGUCGGGGUACUUGGUACUUCGGUGGCGCCGCUAACGCAUUAAGCAGACCGCCUGGGGAGUACGGUCGCAAGAUUAAAACUUAAAGGAAUUGACGGGGGCCCGCACAAGCAGUGGAGCAUGUGGUUUAAUUCGAAGCAACGCGCAGAACCUUACCAACCCUUGACAUCCUUGGACCACCAGAGAGAUCUGGCUUUCCCUUACGGGACCAAGUGACAGGUGCUGCAUGGCUGUCGUCAGCUCGUGUCGUGAGAUGUUCGGUUAAGUCCGGCAACGAGCGCAACCACAUCUUAGUUGCCAGCAGUUCGGCUGGGCACUCUAAAGAAACUGCCCGUGAUAAGCGGGAGGAAGGUGUGGAUGACGUCAAGUCCUCAUGGCCCUUACGGGGUUGGGGCUACACACGUGCUACAAUGGGCAGUCUACAGUGAGUUAAUCUCCAAAAGAUGUCUCAGUUCGGGAUUGGGGGUCUGGCAACUCGA
rnacentral:rRNA from 1 species